CCUACGGGCGGCAGCAGUGAGGAAUAUUGGUCAAUGGACGAGAGUCUGAACCAGCCAAGUAGCGUGAAGGAUGACUGCCCUAUGGGUUGUAAACUUCUUUUAUAUGGGAAUAAAAUGUUCCACGUGUGGGAUUUUGUAUGUACCAUAUGAAUAAGGAUCGGCUAACUCCGUGCCAGCAGCCGCGGUAAUACGGAGGAUCCGAGCGUUAUCCGGAUUUAUUGGGUUUAAAGGGAGCGUAGGUGGAUUGUUAAGUCAGUUGUGAAAGUUUGCGGCUCAACCGUAAAAUUGCAGUUGAAACUGGCAGUCUUGAGUACAGUAGAGGUGGGCGGAAUUCGUGGUGUAGCGGUGAAAUGCUUAGAUUUCACGAAGAACUCCGAUUGCGAAGGCAGUUCACUGGACUGCAACUGACACUGAGGCUCGAAAGUGUGGGUAUCAAACAGGAUUAGAUACCCCAGUAGUC
rnacentral:rRNA from 1 species